GACGAACGCUGGCGGCGUGCUUAACACAUGCAAGUCGAACGGAAAGGCCCUGCUUUUGUGGGGUGCUCGAGUGGCGAACGGGUGAGUAACACGUGAGUAACCUGCCCUUGCCUUUGGGAGAACUUCAGGAAACUGGGGCAAACACCGGAUAGGAGCUCCGGCUGCAUGGAGGGGGGUGGAAAGUUUCGGCGGCUGGGGAUGGACUCGGGGCUGAUCAGCUUGUUGGUGGGGUAGUGGCUUACCAAGGCUUUGACGGGUAGCCGGCCUGUGAGGGUGACCGGCCACAUGGGGACUGAGGGAGGGACCAGACUCCUACGGGAGGCAGCAGUGGGGAAUAUUGCACAAUGGGCCGAAGCCUGAGGCGGCAACGCCGCGUGCGGGAAGACGGCCUGCGGGUUGUAAACCGCUUUCGCCUGUGACGACGCGUGAGUGACGGUAAUGGGUAAAGAAGCACCGGCUAACUACGUG
rnacentral:rRNA from 1 species